rnacentral:rRNA from 1 species
UACAGAGGCCCCAAGCAUUAUCCGGAAUCACUGGGCGUAAAGGGUGUGUAGGCGGCUGUGUUAGUCUUUCGUGAAAGAUCUUCGGCUCAACCGAGGAGACGCGGGGGAAACGGCACGGCUUAGAGGGCGCGAGAGGUACAGGGAACUCAUGGUGUAGGGGUGAAAUCCGUUGAUAUCAUGGGGAACACCAAAUGCGAAGGCACUGUACUGGCGCGUUCUUGACGCUGAAGCACGAAAGCGUGGCAAUCGAACGGG